AGAGUUAGACUCUGUGAUGUAUAGAGAGAGUUAGACUCUGUGAUGUGAUGUACGGAGAGAGUUAGACUCUGUGAUGUGAUGUACGGAGAGAGUUAGACUCUGUGAUGUAUGGAGAGAGUUAGACUCUGUGAUGUGAUGUAUGGAGAGAGUUAGACUCUGUGAUGUACGGAGAGAGUUAGACUCUGUGAUGUGAUGUAUGGAGAGAGUUAGACUCUACUCUGUGAUGUGUGGAGAGAGUUAGACUCUGUGAUGUGAUAGAGUUAGACUCUGUGAUGUAUGGAGAGAGUUAGACUCUGUGAUGUAUGGAGAGAGUUAGAC
ensembl:lncRNA